rnacentral:misc_RNA from 1 species
AAGAUUAUUAUUAUAUAGACCCCCUGUGUAUUAUUACCUGUUACUUCUAGUAUGAGAGAGAGGGAGAUAUAUAUGUAUAUAUAUAUAUAUUCUCAAAUAGAAUAUCUUAAACUAUUAUUCUCAAUGAUAUCUGUCUGAUUUUGUAAUAAAUUAAAAGUUA